rnacentral:rRNA from 1 species
CACCAGUAGCGAAGGCGGCUUGCUGGNCCUAAUCUGACNUUAAAGCACGAAAGCGUGGGGAGCAAACAGGAUUAGAUACCCUGGUAGUCCACGCCAUAAACGAUGAAUGCUAGGUGUUUGGGGAAAACCUAAGUGCCGCAGUUAACGCAUUAAGCAUUCCACCUGAGUAUUACGUGCGCAAGCAU